rnacentral:rRNA from 33 species
GUGACCCCAGGUCAGGCGGGGACACCCGCUGA